UGUUCUAUGAUGCUCUUAAUUCAGAAGUGUUGCAGUCCACUAAAUUUUUUGAGAAACUCCUCUACUUCUUUUGGUGUGGCCUUCAUAAUUAGGUAAAGUGCUUCAAAGCUCAGCCUUGUGAUGCCAAGUUGGUGAUUGAAAUCAUCUCUUGUAUGAGUUGUAUCCCUUGACUACAGGUUUUAUUCACUACAGUGGAAGACAUGGGCAGCCUGCUUCAUACAGGCAGCAUGGCGGCGAUACUACAGAAGGAAGCUUGAGAAAUCAUUACAAGAGGCUGAAGAAUAUGCCCUUGCAAAGGAG